rnacentral:pre_miRNA from 1 species
GGGGAGCAUUGGAUCUGGGGCUGUGUCCUCCGGCGCACUGGGCUCCUGGGCCUGCGCCACUGGAACUGCGCUUCCUGCCUGCGCAGCUUCCU